AUUGAACGCUGGCGGCAUGCCUUACACAUGCAAGUCGAACGGUAACAGGUCUUCGGAUGCUGACGGGUGGCGAACGGGUGAGUAAUACAUCGGAACGUGCCCGAUCGUGGGGGAUAACGGAGCGAAAGCUUUGCUAAUACCGCAUACGAUCUACGGAUGAAAGCAGGGGACCGCAAGGCCUUGCGCGGACGGAGCGGCCGAUGGCAGAUUAGGUAGUUGGUGGGAUAAAAGCUUACCAAGCCGACGAUCUGUAGCUGGUCUGAGAGGACGACCAGCCACACUGGGACUGAGACACGGCCCAGACUCCUACGGGAGGCAGCAGUGGGGAAUUUUGGACAAUGGGCGAAAGCCUGAUCCAGCCAUGCCGCGUGCAGGAUGAAGGCCUUCGGGUUGUAAACUGCUUUUGUACGGAACGAAAAGACUCUUUCUAAUAAAGAGGGUCCAUGACGGUACCGUAAGAAUAAGCACCGGCUAACUACGUG
rnacentral:rRNA from 1 species